rnacentral:rRNA from 1 species
AUAUCAGUCAUGCAUAGCAUAUCAAUAAGCGGAGGAAAAGAAACUAACAAGGAUUCCCUUAGUAACGGCGAGUGAAGCGGGAAGAGCUCAAAUUUGAAAUCUUCAAGGUUUUACCUUGACGAAUUGUAGUUUAAAGAAGUGUUUUCUGUUGAAGUUUUGGUAAAAGUUCUUUGGAAUAGGACAUCAUAGAGGGUGAGAAUCCCGUAUUUGACCAUUACUUUCAGCUUUGUGAUACACUUUCAAAGAGUCGGAUUGUUUGGGAAUGCAGUCCAAAAUGGGUGGUAAUUUCAUCUAAAGCUAAAUAUUGGCGAGAGACCGAUAGCGAACAAGUACCGUGAGGGAAAGAUGAAAAGAACUUUGAAAAGAGAGUUAAACAGUACGUGAAAUUGUCAAAAGGGAAGCGUUUGACACCAGUGUUGUUUUCUCGAAAAUCAAUUAAAAAGAGUUGGAUUUUGUGUUGUAUUGACUUUAUCAGCUUUCUUCACUCUUUUCCAGCUUUUUUUAAUGCACUUUUCGUUUAACAAGUCAACAUCAGUUUCUUUUGUUGUAAAAAGGUCAUUGGAAGGUGGCUUUCUCUUCGGAGAAAGUGUUUAUAGCCUUUGACUCAUGCAAUCGGAGAGACUGAGGUCUGCAGCGUAGAUCCUUCGGGGUUAGAUACAUUUGUGCUAAGUUAUAGCUUUUCAUAGACAACUUGUUGACUAUGUUUAGUCUUGUAGCUUACUCGCUUAUGCUAUUUUACCUACGCUUAGGAUGUUGAACUCUAUCACACACAG